AUUGAACGCUGGCGGCAGGCCUAACACAUGCCAGUCGAGCGGAUGAAGGGAGCUUGCUCCUGGAUUCAGCGGCGGACGGGUGAGUAAUGCCUAGGAAUCUGCCUGGCAGUGGGGGAUAACGUCCGGAAACGGGCGCUAAUACCGCAUACGUCCUGAGGGAGAAAGAGGGGGAUCUUUGGACCUCACGCUCUCAGAUGAGCCUAGGUCGGAUUAGCUAGUUGGUGGGGUAAAGGCCUACCAAGGCGACGAUCCGUAACUGGUCUGUGUGGAUGAUCAGUCACACUGGAACUGAAACACGGUCCAGACUCCUACGAGAGGCAGCAGUGGGGAAUGUUAGGCAGUGGGCGAAAGCCUGAUCCAGCCAUGCCACGUGUGUGAAGAAGGUCUUCGGAUUGUAAAGCACUUUAAGUUGGGGGGAAGGGCAGUAAGUUAAUACCUUGCUGUUUUGACGGUACCAACAGAAUAAGCACCGGCUAACUUCGUG
rnacentral:rRNA from 1 species